GUGGGGAAUAUUGGACAAUGGGCGAAAGCCUGAUCCAGCCAUGCCGCGUGUGUGAAGAAGGUCUUCGGAUUGUAAAGCACUUUAAGUUGGGAGGAAGGGCAGUAAGUUAAUACCUUGCUGUUUUGACGUUACCGACAGAAUAAGCACCGGCUAACUUCGUGCCAGCAGCCGCGGUAAUACGAAGGGUGCAAGCGUUAAUCGGAAUUACUGGGCGUAAAGCGCGCGUAGGUGGUUUUGUAAGUUGGAGGUGAAAUCCCCGGGCUCAACCUGGGAACUGCCUCCAAAACUGCAUGACUAGAGGACGGUAGAGGGUAGUGGAAUUUCCUGUGUAGCGGUGAAAUGCGUAGAUAUAGGAAGGAACACCAGUGGCGAAGGCGACUACCUGGACUGAUACUGACACUGAGGUGCGAAAGCGUGGGGAGCAAACAGGAUUAGAUACCCUUGUAGUCC
rnacentral:rRNA from 1 species